CUAAAGGUUCUUUUUAGAGCCAUUCAUUUUCCAAACAGAACUGAC
rfam:Erinaceus europaeus unplaced genomic scaffold scaffold00740, whole genome shotgun sequence